UACGAAAGGUGCGAGCGUUAAUCGGAAUUACUGGGCGUAAAGCGCGCGUAGGCGGUUUGUUAAGUCGGAUGUGAAAUCCCCGGGCUCAACCUGGGAACUGCAUCCGAUACUGGCAGGCUAGAAUGCGGUAGAGGGAGGUAGAAUUUCCGGUGUAGCGGUGAAAUGCGUAGAGAUCGGAAGGAAUACCAGUGGCGAAGGCGGCCUCCUGGACUGACAUUGACGCUGAGGUGCGAAAGCGUGGGGAUCAAACAGG
rnacentral:rRNA from 1 species